UUUGUACUUCCACCUCUGUUGCC
rnacentral:piRNA from 1 species